UUCUCUGAUUGGUUGACCAGAUGGAUCAUCUGGAAGCGCGAUGGCGGUAGUGUGGAGUGUCGUUCGUAAAAAGUAAACAAAAAUUACGAACAGCUGAAAAGAGCAACAAUUUGUUGUGAAUUUGAGUUCGUCACCGUAAUGUCCGUUGUGUGUUUUGUGCUGCUUUUUGUCUACCAGAAUUGUCAAAUUCGUCUUUGAUUUCGCUUGUCCGUCUACAUCCUGUCCGAGUACCUCAAGAUUUUCAUUACCAUGACCGGGUUUACCUGCUUUUUGUUUGUCGUUGUUUUCACUGCUUAUAUUAAGGUGGCGUCUGCUGCAGAACUUGUGAUCCACAUUCCAGGCAGUUUAGGCCAGGAGGGAGUGGUUUAUCGUCUCGAUUACUAUCCGCCCUUCGGAUAUCCAGCUCCCAACACCACGAUCGCAUCCAAAGAUAUCCGAGAUGUCAUCAAAUUUUCACAAGCUCUUCCCGGAACGAAGUACGACUUUUGGUUGUAUUAUUCAAACGCCACUCACAAUACCCUCACUUGGACAGCCAACUUUACAACAGUUCCGGAUCCACCAUCAGGGCUAUCCGUUUUUGUAAAAGGAGGGAAGCAAGCCUUCUUCUCAUGGUCUCCACCUUCGCAAGGCAGCUACACCAGCUUCAAGCUCAAAAUAAAUGCAUUAGUGCAUAUUCCAGCACGAAAACCAUUUGAACUGCUUCGUUUGGGGUGGGAUGGAAAAGCCAUAACAAUCGACAAUAUUGAUAACACUCAAUAUGCGCAAAAGGAUUUGGUACCGGGCGCCACGUAUCAAGUUCAAGCUUUCACGGUUUUUGAGAAUAAAGAAAGCGCCGCUUACACUUCCCGCAAUUUUACCACAAAACCGAAUACUCCAGGAAAGUUCAUUGUUUGGUUCCGGAAUGAAACAACGCUUUUAGUUCUUUGGCAGCCUCCUUAUCCAGCAGCUAUUUAUACGCAUUAUAAAGUUUCGAUUGAUCCACCAGAUGCAAAUGACUCUAUUUUGUAUGUGGAAAAAGAGGGCGAACCGCCAGGACCUGCUCAGGCAGCUUUCAAAGGACUUGUCCCAGGUCGAGCUUACAAUAUUUCUGUACAAACAAUGUCUGAAGAUGAAAUAUCCGCGCCUACGACAGCUCAAUAUCGAACGGUUCCAUUAAAACCGGGAAAAAUCAGCUUUGAUAAGGACAAAAUUACCACGAACUCGUUUGUUGUACAUUGGGAACCGCCAAUUGGCCGGAGUGAAUUUGAUAAGUAUCAAAUUUCACUUGGAACCUUAAGAAAACCACCCCCAGUUCCGAGAUCGAAGGACGAUUUGACUGAGUGGGAAUUCAAAGAUAAUUUGGAGCCAGGAAAAACGUAUUCUGUGGUUGUUAAAACAGUUUCAGGAAAAGUGACUUCGUGGCCAGUUUCAUCCGAAGUUACUUUAGAACCACUUCCUGUUAGUCAUCUUCAUUCUGUCCUGGAUGAGCAUACUGGCACCAUUACAAUUUCCUGGAAACCGAGCCCGGACAGUACACAGGACAGCUUUUUAGUGUCCUACCACGAGGUCGAAAGCACUACCGGCGAUAGCAACGUUGUUGCUACAAAUCAGUCAAAAAUUGAACUGGAAACCUUGUUGCCUGGAAGAAACUACUCCAUUACAGUGCAAGCUGUUUCGAAGGAUGUUCAGUCGAAAGAGCAAUCAAUUUACGUGGUGACAAAACCGAGCGCACCAAUUAUUGAAGAUUUAAAACCCAUGGUUGAUGGAUUAAACAUCAGCUGGAAAUCCGAUGUAAACUCAAAACAAGACAAAUACGAAAUAAUCUGGAUAAGGAACGACACUAAUGAAAGAGACGUGAGGUCCACAUAUGAAUCGAAGAUACUUCUCAGCAAUCUGUAUCCAGGCGCAGGCUAUUUGGUGAAGAUUUACGCAAUUUCGCAUGGAUUAAAAAGCGAACCGCAUGAGUACUUCCAACCAGUCUUUCCCAAACCGCCUAGGAAUAUGUCCAUUGAAAAAACCACAACCAAUUCGGUUAUUGUCCAAUGGCAGGCCCCGAUGGAUUCAUUAAUCACAGAAUAUUCCAUCAGAUACAAAACGGGAUCGGAUAAUCAAUGGAUUAGAUUGCCCGCUGUACAAAAUACUGAAGCUGAAGUAACUGAUAUGACGCCGGGAGAGAGAUAUACGAUACAAGUAAACACAGUCAGCUAUAGCUUGGAGAGCAAUGAGCCUCAGCAGCUGAAUCAUACAGUCAGGCCAAAUCCCGUGUCAAACAUUGCGCCAUUAGUUGACUCGAAUAAUGUUACUCUGGAAUGGCCCCGGCCAGAAGGAAGAGUUGAAACUUACAUUGUUAGAUGGUGGGAAAUUACAACUCCUUCGCAGGUGAACAAGAGCAUUGUGAGUCAAAGCCAAAAUGGAACCGGCCCCGUUAGGCUCUUAGUGGGUGAUCUUAUGCCCGGAGAAGAAUAUGUGUUCGAUAUUCAGGCAAUUUCAAAUGACUUGGAAAGUGAUGUGACUGUCCUGAAAACACGCACCAUGCCCCUGAUCCAAUCAGAAGUGGUGGUCGUUAACAACCAAGUAUCAACUGACUCUAUCGGUCUUCGCUAUACUCCAACGCCUCAGACAUCCUCACGAUUUGAUUUAUAUAAAUUUUCUUUAUCGGAACCAAAUAUACCCGACCAAGAGAAGACCGCAAACGACUCUGACCGAUUAGUCACUUUCAACAAUUUGAUACCAGGAAGGUUAUAUAAUAUUACUGUUUGGACCGUUUCCCAAGGAGUAGCUAGUCAACCCUUGCAAAGACAAGAUAGACUAUUUCCGGAGCCCAUAACUGGAAUCAACGCAACAUACAUAUCAGACACAGAAAUCACGUUAACUUGGGCAUUUCCAAGAGGCGAAUAUAAUGCCUUUGAGGUGCAAUACAUUAAUUCGGAUGGUGGAUUUAUUCAAAACUUGACACUCCAUAAUUCGAUUGCUAUUAAUGAACUGAAACCCCAUAGGAAUUAUACUUUUACCGUCACUGUGCGGAGUGGCACCGAGUCCAGCAUUUUACGAAGGUCGCUACCAGUAUCAGAAAGUUUCACCACAAAGGAAUCGGUUCCCGGAAAAGUGGAAAAAUUCGAACCCAUCGACAUUCAGCCAAGCGAUAUUGUCUUCGAAUGGUCUUUGCCAACCUCGGAACAGAAUGGUGUUAUUCGAAAAUUCACUAUUACCUAUGGAUUAGAGGGUUCCCCGCAUGUGCUUUUCAAGGAUUUUGCUGCUUAUGAGUUCCGGGGGACUCUCAAACAGCUUCUACCAGGGAAAACUUAUGUGUUCAAGAUCCAAGCUGAAACCAAGGUGGGUUUUGGUCCAUCCACAACUUGGAAACAACGGAUGCCCAUUAUGGCACCACCAAAACCCAGUAUGCAAGUGGUACCGACUGAAGUCUGUAAAAGUUCCACUUCCAUCCAGAUUAGGUUCAGAAAGAACUACUUUAGUGAAGCAAAUGGUCCGAUUGUUUCUUAUGCAGUCAUUGUGGCAGAAGAUGAUUCAAAGAACGCUUCAGGCUUGGAAAUGCCAAGUUGGCGCGAUGUUCAAGCUUAUUCCGUUUGGCCCCCCUAUCAAGUUAUGGAACCUUAUUAUCCAUUCUUUAAUAGUUCAGUGGAAGAUUUUACAGUUGGUGGAGACACAUGCGAUAUAAGGCAAGUUGGAUAUUGCAAUGGGCCGUUGAAGUCGGGUUCCACGUACAAAGUUAAAAUCAGAGCUUUUACUGCACCGGAUAAGUUUACAGAUACCAGUUAUAGUUUUCCGAUACAAACAGGACUGCUAAGGCUUGAAGAUCAAGACAACACUCCGAUUAUCCUGGGGGUGGUGAUUCCCAUAGUGCUGAUUUGCCUGCUCUUCGUAAUGAUCAUAUUCAUCAGAAGACGCCGAUCAGCAGGACGAAAAGGCAUGGUGGAAUCCCGGAACAAUGAUAGUACUUCAUUGCCGGAUUCCGUCAUUGAAACCAGUCGUCCUGUUCGAAUCGAGAACUUUGCUAAUCAUUAUAGGAUCAUGUCGGCUGAUUCUGACUUCAGAAAAGAGUGGACUAUGGUCACUAAGUUUAGCGAAGAGUUUGAAGAACUGAAACAUGUGGGAAGGGAUCAACCAUGCACAGCAGCCGAUUUGCCCUGCAAUAGACCCAAAAAUAGGUUUACCAAUAUUUUGCCUUACGAUCAUUCCCGGUUCAAGUUACAGCCAGUUGACGACGAAGAGGGUUCAGAUUAUGUUAAUGCUAACUAUGUACCGGGUUACAACUCUCCUAGGGAGUUUUUAGUAACGCAAGGGCCUUUACAUUCCACGCGAGACGACUUCUGGAGGAUGGUAUGGGAGUCGAAUUCUCGUGCUAUUAUUAUGUUAACAAGGUGUGUGGAAAAAGGACGAGAAAAGUGUGAUCAUUACUGGCCAUACGAUACCAUGCCAGUCUAUUACGGAGAUAUAUCCGUUCAAAUUCUUAAUGAAACAAGAUAUCCUGACUGGAAUAUUUCCGAAUUUAUGGUGUGCAGGGGUGAACAACAACGGGUAGUACGACAUUUCCACUUCAGUACUUGGCCUGAUUUUGGAGUACCGAAUCCACCUCAUACUUUAGUAAGGUUUGUGCGAGCCUUCAGAGAAAGAGUACCGCCUGAUCAAAGGCCCAUUGUAGUGCAUUGUAGUGCUGGUGUCGGCCGUUCAGGAACCUUCAUCUGCUUAGACCGGAUUUUGCAACAGAUACAAACGUCCGAUUACGUAGACAUAUUCGGUAUAGUGUACGUGAUGCGUAAAGAAAGAGUUUGGAUGGUACAAACUGAACAGCAAUACAUUUGCAUUCAUCAGUGUUUGCUAACGGUUUUAGAAGGCAAAGAAUUGACGACAUCGCCUAGAGAGAUUCACGAUAAUCAAGGAUUUGAAGAAAUGGUUUGGCGCUUAUUUAGUCAGUGUAGAAAGCUGAUGUUAUGUGGUGCAGGCGUAAGUUCAACCGACGUAAUAAAGCCUGUCGUCGAUUUACCUGAAGGGAAUGGAAAUGCGAGGUAGCUUAGGAGCUUCUCGACCGCAACUAUGGGUUUCUAUCUGUCGACGGAACGCUUUUAACUUGGUUUCUGGAUGACGAGGGCAUAGCUGAAUCCGGAAUGUGAUCAACACUUUUUUGCAGUAGGUAACUCGUAAAAGUGAUCAUAUACAAAGCCUUGUGUAUUUAAUAUAAUCUGACGUUACCUUUGAUCAUCUAUACAAUUAAGUUUUCUCAACUUAACCGUAAAACAGUAUAAUGCUUAUAACCUUUAAACAUAUAUUAAUGUGUAAUCUCGUUUUAGAUAGAUUUUUGUACUCUUGGAGCGCUAAUGUCUCAUGUCAUUUUGUUCGUGAUAUAAUAAAAUGUAAAACUUAGGUGACAAACAUUCAUCUGCGGUCUGAAUAUGACCAUAUUCUGAAGAAUGUGAUUAAAAAUAUACUCAUUUUCGAGAUUAUUUGAUGAGACACUUAGUGCCCGAUAUAGUAUAGUAAAUGUUUAAAUGCACGUAUUUCUCUUUUGUAUUAUAAUUUGUACAGUAUUGUUCACUUCAUAUGCGUAUAGUUUAAACUUAGCUAUUCGCCUAAUCACUAGUUCGUUUUAUGUAAUUAUUCAAGUUCCGUCUUACUGCAGAAUGAAGAUUCAAUUAAAACAACAUAUAAUUGAUAUUGUUGACAAAAAAUCUGAUUUGUCAAAAUAACAAAUUAUUGAUUGAUUGAAAAACGUACCCAACCCCCAGUGCCAAUUUCAAAAUAAACUUUACGCGCUUUAAGAACAUUAAUAAUUGUUUUACAAACACUAUUUUUAAUCUAGAGAUUAUUUUGAACCCUGUAGAAAAAUGUCCAUGAAUCUGAUUCAUAUUCUAAAUAUCCCGUCCAUCUAUUCCAGAUUUAAAUACGUUUGUUGCCAUUCAUUUUCAUUCCGACGAACAGUUUAAUAUUUUCCUCGGAUAAAGCUCCCAAUUAACUAACGCAUAAAACCGACUUUUUUAUAAAAAACUAAUUGACAUCAAUUAUAAAUUAUAGUGCAAUAUUUGAGAUUCUAGAAAAUGAGUUACUGAUAGUGAAACAGCAAUCUCUUAAAAACUCAUUUUUUGUGUUCAUUUAUGUCAAACAUAUCUUCCAGAUUACUAGUAUGUACUGCAAAUGCAUGCAUAUAAUGUUCCGUGUUUAUGUUGGUUAUGUUUACUUGAAAAUUUACUUACUUUUAAUAAGCUAUAAGUAAAUUUCUGUGAUAAAAACUUAAGUAGGUUUGGCUAUUUAAUAGGCAUAAGUUUUAAUUUAAUGUUAAAGACCUUUAUCUAAUUUGAGUGUUUUUAUUUUAUACUAGUAAAUGUUCAAAUCAGUUUGGUUUUUCCCGAUUAUGUUUUACACACUUUUAGUAUUAAAAAGGCUGAUACUGCUGGGUAUACCUUAAAUAUAAGUAGAACGUAUUUAGAAUCCUAACAACAUCUGUUUAAUAAUUGUACUCAGAAUAUGUACUUAAUUAUUUUUCUAUGUAUUAUCACAACUACAAAAUAUUUUAUUACUCCAA